GUCCAUGUAGCCGAUGCGCGCGUGGGAGUCGAUCCGGCGCGGAAGGGAGGUGAGGCGCGCGACGGUGCUAAGGGUCUGGCUCGGGAGGGAGGCAAGGAUGCGGACAUAGAAGGGGCAGCGAUCCCCACUCGCCGCCUAUGAAUCCUGGCUUGGGAGGGAGGCGAGGAUGCGGUCAUCGAAGGGGCAGCAAUCCCCACUCGCCGCCGAUAAAUCCUGGUCUCAAACGGCGGCGUCAUGGGAGCACUCUCAGACCGGUGCAGCCAUGGGGGUGGUCUCAACUGCCAGGGGAACGAUAGUUGGCACUUGGCAGCAAGAAAACAGAGAAACCAGAAACUCAGUGAUAGAUAGGAGGUCAGCAGGUGGCUAUAUAGACUCCGCUACUGCGGGUCAUGCUGGGCAUCAGUUUGCGAUGUGAGUGGUGGAGAUGAUGGGAGGAGGGGUGACGAUGAUGGAUCGGCAGAGAAAAGGAUUCAGGAAUACUUUCCCAUGGCUUUUCCGCUGGGAGUCUAACAGCUCAACGUUUGUCGGUGCCCUUGUGCUCAAAAUUCCUAUACAUGUUGAUCCAUGUAUGGCUUCCUAGAAUCAAACUUUGGUUUUUUUUAAGGAGAACACUUUGGUCAUUUUUUAACGUUUUCUACUGUACAGUCUUUGCUUUUAAAGUGAUGUUGAUCCGAUAUAUGUUGAGAAUAUCA